CGGGGAUGAAGCUUGCUUCAUCUGCCGGCGACCGGCGCACGGGUGAGUAACACGUAUGCAACCUGCCCUAUGCAGGGGGAUAACCGGAAGAAAUUCCGACUAAUACCGCAUAAUACAUGUCGGAGACAUCUCCGGCAUGUCAAAGGAAGUGAUUCCGGCAUAGGAUGGGCAUGCGGCGCAUUAGCUAGUCGGCGGGGUAACGGCCCACCGAGGCGACGAUGCGUAGGGGUUCUGAGAGGAAGGUCCCCCACAUUGGUACUGAGACACGGACCAAACUCCUACGGGAGGCAGCAGUGAGGAAUAUUGGUCAAUGGGCGGAAGCCUGAACCAGCCAAGUCGCGUGAGGGAAGACGGUCCUAUGGAUUGUAAACCUCUUUUGCCGGGGAGCAAAGACGUCCUUGCGAGGGUGUCCGGAGAGUACCCGGAGAAAAAGCAUCGGCUAACUCCGUGCCAGCAGCCGCGGUAAUACGGAGGAUGCGAGCGUUAUCCGGAUUUAUUGGGUUUAAAGGGUGCGUAGGCGGGAUGUUAAGUCAGCGGUAAAAUUGCGGUGCUCAACGCCGUACAGCCGUUGAAACUGAUAUUCUUGAGUGGGCGAGAAGUAUGCGGAAUGCGUGGUGUAGCGGUGAAAUGCAUAGAUAUCACGCAGAACUCCGAUUGCGAAGGCAGCAUACCGGCGCCCGACUGACGCUGAGGCACGAAAGCGUGGGUAUCGAACA
rnacentral:rRNA from 1 species